UACGAAGGGGGCUAGCGUUGCUCGGAAUCACUGGGCGUAAAGCGCACGUAGGCGGCUUUUUAAGUCAGGGGUGAAAUCCUGGAGCUCAACUCCAGAACUGCCUUUGAUACUGAGAAGCUUGAGUCCGGGAGAGGUGAGUGGAACUGCGAGUGUAGAGGUGAAAUUCGUAGAUAUUAGGAAGAACACCAGUGGCGAAGGCGGCUCACUGGCCCGGUACUGACGCUGAGGCGCGAAAGCGUGGGGAGCGAACAGG
rnacentral:rRNA from 1 species